AUCAUUUCUCAGCCUUUUGGCUAAGAACAAGUGUAGCAUCUAUUCUUAUCAGUUUAAUAUCUGAUACGUCCUCUAUGCGAGAACAAUAUAUUAAAUGGAUUUUUGGAGCAAGGAGAUGGAAUAGGAGCUUGCUCCAUCCACUCCAUGCAUUAACCUGGUAUUGCACUAAUUCCAGGAACGGUGCACCCCUU
rnacentral:snRNA from 1 species